rnacentral:misc_RNA from 1 species
UGCGUAGUUAUCUUCAGAUGUUGCCAACUCUGCAAUUACUUCCAUAUUUAUAAUGUGACCACUUUCCCCAUGAACAACAAUCUGGGUCCCAUUUGAGCCAUUGCUUCUGCAAAAUUUUAGUAUUUGGUAAGACAAUGUGUAGCAGAGUUUCUCUUGUUGAAACAGCCAUUUCAGUGAUACAAAGUGAAUUCUUGAAGAAGGCAAAUCCCAUUCAUUUUCAGUCACUAGAUGAAACAGGAUCCUCUCAGCUUCUGGAC